UGACUGCCAGGAAUUUAGGGGGAAGGAGGGAUGAACAGGCAGUACAGAGGGUUUUUAGGGCAGCACAAAUAGUCUGUAUGUUAUAAUGGUGGAUACACGUCAUUACACAUCUGUCCAAACCCACAGGAAGCACUCCCAGGAGCGAGAGCCCUAGUGUCAACCACGGAUCUUUUGUGCUAAUGACGUGUCCAUGUAGGUCCCAUCUAUAAGCAGACGACUCUGGUGGGGGAUGCUGGUAAUAGGGGAGACUGCUGUGGAGGGUAGAGAGUAUAUGGCAAUUUCUGUACCUUCCUCUCAACUUUGCUGUGAAUCUGAAACAGCUUUAAGAAAAGUAAAGUCUUAGCAAAAAAAAAGAUUGACAACACCCUAUAAAAGACUGAUUAGUAAGAGAAAGAAAAACCCACAAAUUACCAAUGUCAGAGGUGAAGUGAGAUAUACCACUACAAAUCUUACAGAAAUCAAAAUUAUAAUAAGGAACUACUAUGAACAACUUUGGCCAAUAAAUUUGACAACUUAGAUCAAAUAAACACUUCUUUUGAAAAAUACAAACUAUCCAAACUGACACAAGAUGAAAUAGAAAACACAAAUGUCAGAUAUAACAAAGAAAUUGGGUAUGUUAUUGAAAGAUUCCCUACAAAUAAAACACCAGGCACAGACAGUUUGUUUCAGUGGUGAAUGCUAUCAAACACUGGAAAAGAAUACACAAAUUCCAUCAGAAAAUUAAGAAAGGAACACUACACUACUCACUUUAUGAGGUCAGUCAAACCCUGAUAUCAAAACUGGAUAAAGAUAUUACAGGAAAAGUAUGUAGAUCAAUAUUUCUAAUGAACAUAUGUGCAAAAAUCAAAUCCAGAAGAUAUAGCCAAUAUAACCCAUACUUAUAUUAUUGAUUUUUUUUCUAAUGAAGUCCCAGCUCUUUUCCUCCGCAAGUGAUUUUUGACAAAGGUAUCAAGGAAAUUCAACAGGGAAGGUAAGUCAUUUAAACAAAUGAUAUCUGCAUGGGAAGGAAAAAAAAGUGAGCCUCGAUCCCUACCUCAAACCAUACGCAAAAAUAUUUCCAGUUAGAUCACAAACUACACAGAAAAGCUAAAACUGUAAAACUUGCAAGAGGAAAUGGAGGAAAAGAAAGGCAAAAGUUUCUUAGGAUGCAGAAAAGUAUAAGCAUAAAAGAAAAACUUGAUAAUCCGAUUUCAUCAAAAUUAAAAACUUCCGCUCAUUAAAAAACUUCAUUAAGAACACAAGUCAGUAAGCUAUGGUCUAAGAGAAAAAUAUUUACAAAACAUGUGUCUGACAAAGGACUUGAAUUCACAAUAUAUAAAAAGCUCCUACAACUCAAUAAUAGGAAGACAAGUCACUUGAUGGGCAAAAGAUUUGAACAGGCACUUCCCAAAGGUAUACAGAUGCCCAAAAAGUAUAUGAAAGAGUGCUCAACAUCGUUAGUCCCUAAGGAAAUGCAAAGUAAAGCUACAAGGAGAUACCACUGAAUACUCACUAGAAUGGCUAAAGCUAAAAAACCUGAUGGCAACCAACACCAUGAGCACAUGGACAAAUCGCGACUUUCACUCACUUGUGGGGAAUGUAAAAUAAUAUGGCCACAUUGGAGAAAAGGUUUGGCAGUUUCCUAGAAAGUUAGAACUACCCUUUAACUCAGAAUUCCCCUCUUCAGUAUUUAGCCAAGAGAAAUAGAAACAUGUUUACAAAAUACCUUGUCCAAGCAUGUUCAUAGCAGUUUUAUUCACAGUAGCCAAAAAAGUAGAAAUAACCCAAAUGGCCAUCAUCAGGAGAACAAGUAAGAAACUGUACAUUGUGGUAAAUUAAAGAUGCAUACUGCAAUCCCUAAAGCAACCAUGGAGGAAAAAAGAAGAUAUAGCUAGAAAGCUAACAUGGGAAUUUUACUGGAAUGUUCUUCGUUAACACACAGGAUUGAACCCUGAUAUGCACAACAUCUGGAUGAAGCUCCGUCACUGUGCUGAGUGAAAAAAGCUGAUCCAAAAGAGAAACGAUAAAAUGAAUCUAAGGUCUAAAAAAAAAAACAAUCAGAAUGGUGUCAGGGGCAGGGGUUGUCCAAGAAGGGACAGGCAGGAACUUUCCAGGGAGGCAGACGGACACACUCUGGGGGUAGGGUGGGCAUUACACGGAGCACCCACUUGUCAUUGUUAGACAGCCAGGACUUGCACCUGCAUGUAAAUUUUAACAGAAAAAACCCUGUAGAAAAUAUAACAACAGAGUGGAGGUGUGUAAGUGGCACAAAAAGGCAGAAUGCUGACAGAGCCUCGGCGAGGCUGCAUGGUUCAUCACAUUGUGCGUUGAUUUUAGGAAACUGAAAUUUCCCUAGAAAUAAAACACCAGGCACAGACAGUUUCAGUGGUGAAUGCUAUCAAACAAAAAAAGCCCACCUAGCAAUUAGCUUUCAGCAAAAAGACUAAGGGCAAGCACGUUUUAUGGCUCGUCUGCCCUGCUCGCAGUCCUUGAGGACGGGAGAGGAGAGAAGCAGGCGGUCUCCCUGGACGCGUGACCUGGGCCAGCAGGGUGGGGAGGUCGGUGGCCCCGGGGACAAGGACACCCACCAGCCACAUUCGGCGGGAAGUCUACGAAUCCCCAAGUGGUGAUUUUCCUUUCCCAUUCCGCUGGGCCGGGCUCCCUGGCCAUCUGUCACCCCAGACGGUUUUGUAGGUAUGGACGCGGCCUGCGCUUCCGCUCUGAGCUCGAACGUGCGAUGGGAACUGGAACCGUUCAGCCGCCGUCUCCCCGCUUGCUCAGUCACCCUCGUAUCUGUCUCCCCUCCCAAGGCGGGGACCUGAGCCUUCUUCUGGUGCCUGCCUUCAUCUGCGGCCACUGUAGGCUGGGCUCCAGGGGCCUCAGGACGGCCAAGAAAACGGAGCGAGGUCUCGAACACGACCCGUUGCAGCCUGGCCAGCUUGGCCUGAAGCUCCCCGUAGCUCGGAAACACGCCCAGGGUGCUGUUUGAAAAUACUCGGGUUACCUAGUAACCAGUAACGACAGGAAAGGCAGAAAAAGCUGAGGGCGAUUUCUGGGCCCUGGGCCUGACGGGCGCUGACUCACCGCGACCUGAAGCAAUCUUUCUAUUCCCGUCCCUGCGUAUGCCAAGUAGAGGGAUCACCUGCCUUACAGAGGUCUGGUUCUGCCGCAAGCUUGUGCGGACACUCUGGGUGUUACUAUGGCGACCAGGAAAUUCACGUCCACCUGAUUCAUGGACCCCCUUCCGGCUGAGGGCUGGGUCUACAGUGCAAGUGUUUGGGUUCAGGCUCGCUGCCAGUAUAUGGCUCUGCUCAGCCCCGGACACCGCACCGAGGAGACCAGUCUGUUUGGGGAACUCACGAGCAUCUCCUUGCUGAGGAGGGGAUUCUUCAGCACUCCGUGAUGGGGAGAACCGCGCCCUUUCUGCUCUUUGACCUGUCCCCGUGCCCCCACCCAGCAGGCCCCAGUGCCCGCCAGCAGCCUCGGCCCUGCUGACACUGGCCUGGUCGUUCUCUGCGGGGCCACCGGGGGCACUGGGAGCGCCAGCAGCACCCCUGGCCCCACCCACCAGACGCCAGGAGCACCCUUUCCCCAGGCCCUGAGUCUCCAGACACUGCGGGUGUCCCCCUGGGGUGCAGGAGCGUGCCCACCUAGAAGUGCUGGUGUAAGUGAAUGUGCAAUGUCUGAACAGUGAGGUGGGCAAGCGGCCCUUGGGUAAAAUGAACUUGCAGACAGGUCAAGGACAGGAAGGACAAUAAAGCAGGUCCUGCAGUGACCUAGAUGCAAAAUUGCUGCAGUUCUGCCACACAGGAAGUGUGCUAUUAGCGGGGACAACGACCGGCCCCUUUGAAGGCUACCCACUCUUUCCAAGAGCAUCCCACUUCAGCUCAGAUCUAGGGUGACCCAUUACCCCUUCCCAGCCUAACCUUCUGACCCCCCUGUCACUCCUCAGUCGACUUUUAAUUUCUUUCUUUCACAGCCGGGGACUUUGAAGGAUUGGAGCUGGUUCCGUGUCCCUCUGGAAUCCAAAUUCCUUCUCUUUUGGUGAGAACUGGGCUUCUCCUGGUUCUUCUCCGUUGCCAAACGUUGCCUCUUUCUCCAGCUGAGGAUGGGGCCCAAGCCCCACGAGCUGGCCCCUGACGUCCCCAGGCUCUGUCCUCGGUCACAGGGGACAAGCUGCUCUGAACUCAAGGGACAGCUGCCUCUCCCCCAGAUAACAGGGUCCCAUCCACUUGCUUUCCUCUGAAGAGACAGGAUUUGACUAUUAAUUCAAAAUUGCCUGAACUAAGGCCUGGCUGCCUGUCUCCGAUGUGGUCUGACCUUAAUCGCCACUGACAACAUUGUGCAUUCAGGGGAACGUGUGAAUUGGGAGACCACCAGCCUCCAGUGACACAGUCACCCAGCAAAUAAGCUUACGGGAGGCAAGCCGGUUCCAUCUGCUUAUUAGUGAUCACUUAACCAAAAGACUUGCUUUCGGGCAGACCCCUAAGGUAAAUGUUUCCCCUCGGACAGGACAGGCCAUUUCUUCUGUGUUUCUGAAGCCAUGGCCUUGGCCCUGGGGCCACAUCCCCCUGGUGACCCAGCCCGGUGCGUCCACUGGGCACCACCUCUCAGGGCCUGGGUGCAAUCUCUGCUCCUGGCCGCGGGCCUGGAAUUCUGGAUCUGCCCCCGGGGCACCCCCCUGCAUAUUCUAAGCCACGGGCUGCCGCACAUCUCCCCACCAAGGGCGGGGUCCUAACAUUGUGACAUCAAGGCACUGUGGUCCCCGGGCAGUGGAGCACCAUGUGCCAGGUGGUUCCAGGUGCACCCUCUGAUUGCUGAUGCAGCAGGUGAAUGGCACGGCUACCCGAUCCCCCAGAUUCCCCCACUACCGGCUGGCUGGCGUGUGGCCACCGAGCAGUGCGACCCCCACCCGGCAAAGCCACGUCUUUGCAGAACCAAUGGAAGCCAGUGUAGCUACAGCAGUCGUGACCCGCAGUGACAAGGCAGGAGGUGUGUACGCGCAUUGAAACUCGAGACGCACUGCUCUAAACCGGCAUUUCUUAGCCUCAGCACUUCAGACUUUUGGGGCCAUCCUGGAUACUGAGGGCCGUGACGCCAGCAGCACCCCCAGUCAUGAUGAGCAGGAAUGUCCCCAGACGCCGCCCUGCGUCCCCUGCCCACUGAGGAGCGCUGGUCCAGUGCCACAGCCUCACUGACCCAGGCCUUCCUUCCUGCCCCAGCCAGACCCACCUCCUGCCCGCAGCCUCCUCCCACUUCCCGGCGCGCAGCGGGGGACCAGCCCGGCCUCAGCGCGCCUCCCGGGCGCCUGCCUUACAUGUGCCUCUUGGGCCUCCGGCCUUCCUUCCCCUCCGACUUGCACCCUGGUUCCCGCCUCCUGUUCCUUCCAUCCUGAAUUCGGAAGACGGGGACCAUGGGGGACACAGGGAGCUUGUGGAGGAACUCAAAGCACCCUCCUAGGCCGCCUUCAAGGUCAGUGCCAGGGAUGCCACAGGGUGGAGGAGGAGGGAAGUGGGUGACAGGAGACGGGCCGUUCGAUCUGGCACAGGACAGCGAUGCCCAGGGACAGGGGGCACUUCCUGUGCUCUCAGCCAUCUCCAAAAUGGCCAACGACCACGAGCGACGCACAGGACCUCGGAGACUGACGCAGGCAAAGAGGAAGCUGUGCUCACGCCACCUACAUCCCACAAGGGUCUUUCCAGAGGCCCCCAGCUCCCCUCCACCCCUUCACUCCGGAAUUUACAGAGCAGACAGAGAAAAUCAACAACUUCCACUUAAAAUCGCAGCAUCGGAGGGGCUGUUAAAGCUCGGCCAGCCCCACUCUUUCAGCAGAUGGAGGAGGGCCCUGACCCGAGGCAGUCUGCCCACGCUGCAGGGGGGAGAGUACCUCCAUGGGAAUAAUUUUAGAUCAUCAAUUUCCAGAAACAUUUUCAAAUGAGACUGCAAUUCCUGAAAAAUGCUUUGCCUAAACCGGGACUGGGUAUAAAAUCAUUCUCUGGAAUGCACAGUAGCAUUUCUUUUGGGAGGAUUUAUCUUUUCCAGCCCGUAAUGAUUUAUAACUCUCUCACUGCCAACAGGUUGUUGGAAGGAUUGUGUAUCCUAAUCAAUCUUGUGGGGGAAUCUUCGGGCAAGUCGGAACUUACUCAUUUUGAUUCCAGCAUCAAAAUUAACUAUUAUUUUAAUUAUUAUUAAUUAUUGCAUCUAACAGGACUGGAGGCUAAUAGACUUGCUUUUUUAAAAAAACAGCUUGUAAUUUUUUUUGUUGGAGAGCGCAAAUGACAUCCCGUUAUAAGUUUUGGCCACAAAGGAAAGUUGGGAAACUCGUUCGGGUACUUUAAAUCGUCCCGAGACCUUAGGUGGAAUGCUGGUACAAAGGUGCCAUGGGCAUUUUCUCGGGGUGUUCAGCUACACAGUGAACCAUCCUUCAAAGACAAUCCGUACCACGAAAGACAGGCUCACAGGAGUGGUGUCCCGGACCAUGGGCUGCUGGGUUCUGACAGGCGGUAACGUGCAGCUGUCUCACCUUAGACAGGUUGCCCUCAGGAUGAAUGGGGCAGGAUCAGGUCCCCCUGCAAAACCUGCGCUGACUCACAUUUCUCGGGUUAUGGCCCAAGUUGGUGGGUGGGGGCAUGGGGCGGGGGCAGAGGAGGGAAAGAAAUGUGUCACUGGCUUUGAAUGAAAUUCAGGGGCAGUGUUUACCUAAGCAACGCCCCUGUAAACAAUCGCUGUCUCAGGCGUGGAGGAGGAGGUGGGGGAGCGCCACUGUUUUGAUCAAAAUCCGCCUGUGGCUGCAAAGCACCCAUCUACAGGCUGAGGGGUUUCUGCUGCCCUGUUGGUGGGGACGCAGCUGCUUCCUGAACAAGGAUAACGUGCACGUUCUCCUGAGGGCCACCUGCGUCCCCGACUUCUUAACAGGAAUAGUGAGGAGCGCGGAGGCCCCCGCGGUCGCCGUGACCAGCCGGCCUGGCACCUGACUGUCCUCCCAGCUUCUCGGGUGCUCUCAGGCGGCGGGGUGAACAUCACCCUGCCAAGGGCGCUGGGGAAGCUGCGCUGUACCAGGGUCAUAGGGGAGGAGGGGGGCCGGGUAACGCGAUGUUAUAAACACGAGGAAUUAGAGCAAAACCGAAAUUUCACUUAAGACUGCAGUUAGUCUCCAGUCGAGAGAAAUGUGGGACAUACUCGAAUGGCCAGGCAGUUUUUUCCCAGCAGCUCUGCCGGGUUUAUACAGAGGAGACCCCAGGGAGGCCCGGGUCUACCUGUUGUGGCGAAGCAAACUCAAGCAUAAUUUCAUCAGAGAAAAAUAUAUGCAGAUGUUCAAUUAAAACCCAGAGUCCGCAGCCCUGGCGCUGUUUGCUGGCCCUCAUUGUUUGCCGAGUAACAACGGUUGCCAGGGACAACGCAGUCCACUCCCGGCUCCAACAGCCUGUUGCUGGGCAACCGCGAGCAUGCUUCCCAAACCAAACAAUAUCAUCCCGGAGCAAUCCCUCUAUCUCACAUUAACCAGAUCUAAAAAAAAACCCUCCCAAAUAUGUAAUCUAUUAUUUUCAGAAGACCUAAGAGAAAGGCAAAUAAUCUCUUCUCCAUAGUAACCGAGGAGAAAACAGUUUCCCCUAUUUGUUCUGAAAUAACGAAACCCAAGAAGGACCAGCUCCCCGAGGUAAGCAUGUGAGCAGCGACUCCAGUCCUCCCUGGUGAAGGGAGGAGAAAGUGCCUCUUCCUCCAGGAGGAAGGAAUUUGUUUAUCAUGGAGUAAAUGACAAGGGAUAGUUCUAGCUGCGCACGGGUUUCCUGGGCAGUGAUUAUAUAAACUACAACGAACCAGAGACCAAGGUAUUAGAAAAAAAAAAGAAAAAGUAAGAACAGGCAAGUAGACACAUCAUUAAAAUGACUUUUGAAAACGUAACAUAUGCAUGAAGGAGGU